UUUAUGAGCAGCCUGUGCUUGCUGCAGCCAUUUGAUGAAGGCAAAGGAGACAGAAACAGGAGUGAGAUGGGAACACACCGCCAACCCUGCGCUCCCCUAAAAUGGCGGUAUAGCAACAGGUGAGCCUUGUCUUCUCAUAACAUGGCCAAUGUAAGACAGUCUCGUUUAAGUCAUCCUGUCUUCAAGGGAGAGUUCAGACUAUUUGCUCUAUGACCAAUUUAUUUGAUUUUUGGCAGUUUCACAGCAUCCACAGAACUCUCUUCCAGUAUGACAUUUCAUACAUGGUGAGUAUCUUCUUAUCAGCUAUCUUCACUGUCCAGCUUUCACAACUAUACACAAAAAGCAGGUACAUACAGAUGUAUCAUGCAGGGUGAAUUCUCCCUAUUGCUAUUGCUUACCAUGAUUCCAUAGUAUUGAACUAUAGCAGUUAAAGUGGUGUCAAAUUGCAAUACUUUAACAAUAUAGAUCCACUCCCAAUCCCAUCUUUGGAAGAAAAAGACGAUCUAGCAGGACUCUAGAAGUACUCACUAUAGAAGGUGAGUUGCUGAAACCAUAGCUAGGAAGACAAGGGGAUGACAGCAGAAAGCUCCUUGAGCCUCCUUUGAACUCUCAAACUGGACAUUCAGAAAAAGCUCAGCAUUUACACUUUGAAUGUUGGGAUGCUUGUGUCUCAGCAUCCAGAGCAUUUGUAUUGAGACACACAUUUGCUAGAUAGAAAGGCUGCUACUUUCCGGUGUUUAGAAAAGAAAGGGAAGAGAAUCUAUAGAAUAUGUGUAUAUUGGGAGUACACUGAAAUCCAGCUCUGCUGGAAGCCUAGAUUUGGAUAUCUCAAGAAUGACAAACAGACUAUAUAACCAGCAAACAAACAGGAAGGAGGAGAGGUCGAGCAACAAGAAAUUAUGUGUAUAUAUUAAAUUGUAGUUUUGUAACAUACCUAGAGGAAAAUAUAUACUCUUAAAACACAACUAUUUCCAAGUUUUCCUUCCAGUGAACCACAUAUUAAUCUUGCUAUGUUUGAGAAUAAACAUUCCUGGAGUCUAGUAUGUAGUGAAAACUGUAACACUAUAAAUAUACUGUAGCAGCAUCUCCAAACCACAAAAAGCCUAACAAAUUUUAUUUCUUCAAAAUAAAACAGUUCCUACAAUUAUACCUUUUGCUGAUCCUUUGUUUUCAAACACAUGUCACUGUCUCCGGUUAUAAUGUUGGUGACUUCCUGUAUGCCCUUUCUGAUCCACUGAGUCAGGUUUACUUACAUGUUGUGCUAAAUGGAUUUUGCAGGAACCGAGCAACUGGCAGUCUUCAGCCAGGCUUGGAUUCUAUUAUGGGGCUUUAUCAUGGAAUGUACAAUCGUGGCUAUAAGGAUAUAACAGCAUUUAUUGUCCUGGAUAUAAGGAAUCUAAGACCCCAUCCACACUGCCAUAUAAUUGAAACUUCAUUACAUUCACAAUGUAGACUCAAAUAAUGCAGUUUAAUGCAGUAUCAAACUGCAUUGUAUGGCCAUGUAAAUGAGGCCAAAUACUGAUAGGUUUAAGUAUGAAGUGGAGAGUACUAGGCUCUCUGUUGCCUGCUACACUGGUCUCAGGAUUCCCAAAAGCAAGUAGCUCAUUUGCAUUCACACUCUGAACUAUUUAGUCUGUGCUUAGCUUUACUGAACUCUUCUUUAUAUUUACAAAGUUUGUACUUUUACCAGGGACUCUUAUUCUUGAGGUAGUGAAGGCAUAAUGUCUAGAGCAGAAGGCCUGGAGGCCAAAUCCAGCCCUCCAUGACAUUUUAUGUGGCCCUCUAAAUGCUGAACUACAACUUCUGUAUUCCUCAUUAUUAGAUAUCAUGAUUAGAACUGAUGGGAGUCGUGAUACAGUAACAUUGGGAAGGCUGCAGUUUGUUCUGUUCAGUUAGGGGAGUGGGGUUUGAAUUUAGAUACAAGGCUUGUGGAUAUGAUGUCUGGCACUUAAAUGUCCUUUAGCCUUUCCCCAACCUCAAAGCCACAAGUGCAAUUGGGUUGCAAGACUUAUCCCCAGUCUGCAUGGUGGAUAAUCAAAAGUGAUGGGAGUUGUUGUUCAAUAACAUCUGGGGACCCAAACGAGGUAAAAACCAAAGAACGCCAACCACGAUGUUAACUUUUUUUAGCUGGCCCAGAGUCUCUGCCCAUGGAUUCAACGGUCCCUGGAAAGCAACCAUAAAGCUGAUGUAUGCCUUGAUGAAAAUGAGAUUGACGCCCCUGGUCUAGAGGCUAAAAAAAGUUUAAGAUAUAUGAAAACUGAAAUAAGAAAAACUUGGAAUGAAAAACAGAAAUUCGAAAUGAAAUAUUUUUGACUUCCAGUUUUUAACAGAAAUGUACAUUUUGAGGUCCAAAGAGGCAAGUUUUUUUGAUAGACGCAUGUCUGUCCCAAGUACUGUAUAUGCUCGAGUAUAAGCCAAGUUUUUCAGCCCUUUUAGGACUGAAAACGCCUCCCUCGGCUUAUACUUGAGUGAGGGUGCUGGCCAGCUUAUAUUCGGGUCGCUUAUACUCAAGUAUAUACCGUAAUCAGAAUUGGACAGUCUUAUCUUAUUAAAGUCUUAUUAUUAUCUUAAAUUACAGUUUUAUGUAUUCAAAACCAUUUAACCUACUGAUACAUCCAUUAAUGUAAUUUUAUUGGUAUCUAUUAUUAUUUUUGAAAUUUACCAGAAGCUGCUGCAUUUCCCACCCUCAUCUUAUGCUUGAGUCAAUAGGUUUUCCCAGUUUUUUUUGUAGUAAAAUUAGGUGCCUUGGUUUAUAUUUGAGUCGGCUUAUACUCGAGUAUAUACAGUAGUUUGUUUACAAAAUCCAGAAGGCAGUCCUGCUUUUAAAUUUUUCCUAUGCAUGAAUUUUAAAAAAUCGCAUAACAGGCUUUUUCUGUUUUAUUCUUUCCUUUUUAGGACAGAAAGAUCACACCCACACAGAGCUUGUAAAAAGGACCUUUCUUACAACAGCUCCCACAAUCCCUAAAACAAUGUGGUACUUAUUCAGGACCUGUGCUGGCUGGAGAAUUCUGGGACUUACAGUCCAAAAAGUAAUGUUUCCAAGGGCAGACCAAGCAACAUGUCUUCAGUUCUGUCCCAGAGCUAACAGACCACUCAGCUAUCACAGACAUAGACAUCUGCAACUGGACAUGCAACUUUUCACAAUUGGACAUGUUACAGGAAGGCCUCCGUCCUCACAUAUUGUGCAUAGUGCAGAGAGCUGAUGCAUUGUACGGACAAAGCUGUAGAGCCUCUACUACCCGAACUGGGCCCCUCAAAGCACUGAGGCUGCCAAUUGCACUGGGCUUUGGACAGCAUCUCCUCCUUUGUUUCUCCGCUUUUAAUAAGUUAUUUUAAAAUGUGGUUUCUCUCAGAAAAUGAAUCAAUCAAUAAACAGAAAUAUGAGCUUA